UUCCAGAAGAUAACUGAUCUCUAGUAACUGUAGUAAUUCUGGGUACCUGCAGUCAUAACCUCCAUGUUUUUACUGACUACAUAUUCAGCAGACAGUAAGGUUUAAAAGGUGCAAAAUACUAUCACUACAUGGCUUUGUUUUUACAUUUGGUUCACCUAGGAAACAGCUUCUUAGGAGAAGUGAGCUAAAAUUGCGUUGAAAAAUAUUUUCCUUUCAUGGUUUCUGUUUCUUAUUGUCUUGUCUGGAGAAGAUAUGCUAAUUUUUUUAACUAUGCAUUAAAAGUCCUCCUAAAAUUUUCAGCCUUUCAUGGCUGUGAUCAUUGUGAAUUUGACAUUAUUUUCUUUAUCUCUAUAGCAAGUAUGGAAUCACAGACUCACAGAAUAUGCUCAAUUGGAAGGGAUCCAGACGGAUCAUCAGAGCCAGCUCCUGGCCCUGCAAACUCACACCAUUUGCACAAGGUAUUGUCCAAAUGCUUCUGGAGCUCUGUCAGGCUGGUGCUGGGACCACUUCCCUGGGGAGCCUGUUCCAGUGCCCAGAGCCUCUCUGGGCAAAGAAACUUUUUAUUAUAUUCAAACUAAACUUUCCCUGACAAAGCAUUAGGCCAUUCCCUUGGGUCCUGUCACUGGUCACCACAGAGAAGAGGUCAGUGCCUGCCCCUCAUCUUCCCCUCACAGGAAGCUGUAAUUGCAAUGAGGUUGCCCCUCAGUCUCCUCUUCUCCAGGCUGAACAAACCAAGUGGCCUCAGCUGCUCCUCUUCCAGCUUCCUCUCAAGGCUCUUCACCAUUAUAGGCUAGAAUCUCUGGAGGUGGUUGCUCAAGUAAACUGCUUAGACACCAUGUGUGAGUACCUGGAGUCUACUUUUCUCUAAUGAACUGAGUCUAAAAUGAAGAGAGUAUCACAGAUAAAUUUCCUGCUGUCAGUAGCACACCAGAGAAGAUUAAUAAGAGAUGAAAGAAUAACUCCUCCUCACAAGAAACAGCAGAUGUAAUUUGGUGCUUGCAGCAAGGAGAUGUGCCUGACAGACGAUGCAGUCAUAUUUGCAGAGUGUGGUUCCAUCAUCCUGACACCUAGCAUGCUCUUCACUCACAAUGGGUUUGAUAUCCAGUUGCCGACUCAGGUUUUAUAUCAUGAAGUGGAUUAAUUUUGCAUCCACUGCAGCUAUGAAAUGCCUAUGAGUAAGUGCUAACUGUUCAGCAUUUCAGAAGGAAAAUAUUUUCAUUGAAGCAGAUGUUUCUCAGAUUCUUCAGGAGCCUAAAACAUUUCCUGAAAGUGUUGCUACUCUCCACAGGGAAAGACAGAACAGAUCUUCAUUUGGAAAUGAAGCAUCUCAUGAUGAAACAAAUUUGACUACUUCAGAGGAGAAAAAAAAACAUGAACAUGUGAAGAGGAAUGCUGAAGGAAGAUGGUUGACAAAGAUUUGUGAUUACUUCCAGAAUGUUAUAUCAGAAGUGACAAAAGAAGGAUAAAAUAUCAGGAUUAAUGAAGAGCUUAAUGAUCUCCUGCUGUGAUGAAGAGUCCAGGAAGCAGCUGCUGUAGAAGGAGAUGUUCUGGUACCAGCUGAGGAGCAUUUGUGGAGGAGUCAUGGAAGGUGUUAUUGCAGGGCAGGCAGAUGACUUAAGAAGGUCAUAGGGAAGAGGAAACAGUGGUUGCUGAUGUCUAAUUCAGAUUUUGGUCUUAUUUCAGAGUGAGGAGGUGUUUGGACUGAUUCAGAUUACUUCUGAAAGCAAGCAGUGGCAAGGAUGGCAGGAUUUAAGACAUCUUAGAUUUCUGUAGAACUUAGAGUUACCUGUAAUUUCCUGCCUCUCUGGGACAGAAGAGUUAUUGAAAGUGGUAUGCCAGUGGCUUCAGGUACUGAUAUUCCCAGUUGUUCUUCAAACCAGAAGAACAACUUACUGAUGGAAUUAUAGACUUAUACCUCUCUAAUGCUUUUGGAUAUGACCAGCAGCUGCAGAUCUCAAGAACAUAUACGGUGCAUCUUUUGCAAAAAUCAGACUGCCUCUGCAACUUUCUGUGACCCUGGUUUCCUUCAGCUACUGGGACACCUAUGAACUGCAGUACUAGACAUUUCUGGAGAAUUCAGUACAGCGAAAGAUAUUAGUCAAGCAGACCAGCAAGUUCUCAACUUUCCAAAACUUUUUAGGUGGUUGAAAAAAGCCAGAAACAGGCUAUUGAAGCUGAGAAAGUGCCUGGAAAAUCUUCAGCGGGUGAUCAAGGCUUUGAACAAGUGCACUGCCAGUGCUUCAGGAGUGCAGGCAAACAAACAUCAUAUAAGUAUUUUGGACACGUAAUUAAUAGAAUGUUGGAGCUGGAGAAAUCUAGUUACCACAGUCAGAGAAGGGCAGAGAGACUGAUGAAAACAAAGUGCAUGAUGACAGUGGAAAACAGGCAUGAAGAGAAAAAGCUGACAGAAAACAUUUGUAAGUUGUGCUGACGUUGAGGAAAAUAGGAUGGGAAGGCAGCAUAAACCAGGCCUGUUUUAUUCUGUAUCAUUUUAAUAAGCUCUAAAAUCCUAGCUCUUUUGAAUUAAAGGGCUCAAUAUCAGGUUUGUUAUAUGAUAGUUUUCAGAAUCAAGUUAUGCUAUAACUGUCUUGAAUAAUGCUGUUACCUCUUUUGUCUCUGUAGAUUAUCAGUAUAUUUUGAUGUGAAAAUAAUGAUUUCCAUACUGUGAGUUUGAAUACCUCUGUGCUUCACUUGCUAAAGAAAAAACAGGGAUAUCUAGAGGUAGCACCCAGUCCAGUCUUUGAGAAGCAAAGACUUUGUCUUGUUCUCUGUGGGUAAGUCAUUAACAAGUCCUCAAAGCAACUUAGAUGUUUAAAGCCUACACCCUUAACAACUAGUUUGAUCCCGAGGGUCUUUAUCUAAGCUGAGAUACCACUGAACUGAGUGUUUCAGUUGCAAUUUCUAACACACACGCAUUUCUAUAUAUACAUCACAAAUAAAGCAAACAAAAAUCACUAGUCAUUAACAGCUGCAGAUUUUUUUGUACUCAAAAUAGAAGCCAUUUAAGUUCAUACUCUCUGACUUUUAAACCCUAUUCAUUUGGGUAAUUUUUGGUCUUCAUGUGAAUUUUUUUUAAUAUUAUUGAGAUUCUAUAAUAUAGAGUUUUAGCUACUUUGGUACACAGCUAGACCUUAGUACUUCAGUUCUUAGCUGAGAAAAACUUUAGUGUGUCGAGGUUUUAUGCACUGUUUCUUGCUGUGAUUUUUGAGUGAUGUAUAAAAUAUUAUGACUUACAUCAAGUCUUGUGAGCCUUUGUUUUCCAUUCAUCUCCUCUAUAUUUCAGCUUUCUACAGUUUUAAUAGAUGUCUUCUAUUGUUAACACAAUUAAACUGCUUUGAAUAGAAUAUUUGUUCAACAGAACAUAGAGAAGGUAUUGUUUUUGGAAAAAACCUGGUGUAUAUUUUUGAAGAAUGUCAGAAUUGUGCAAAUUCCUAAUAACUAUUAAUUUCUUCUUUAUAUUCCAGUAUAUGACCAAAAAUAACUAGUACCUUCUGUCAGCCUCUAGGUGAUUCAGUUCCCCUAAGGAAAAGAUUCAUUUGGCAUUGCUCAUUUGUUUUCUUACUUGGAGAUUCCAGCAUAAAAUAAUAUAGUAGAAGUUCAGCUGGACUAAGUACCUCAUUUCAAUAGCAUAUCUGGGCUAAAAAUAGUUGGCAAAACUGAUAACCUAAAAUUAUAAUUUUGAAAUAAACAGGUCUGAAAACUUCACCCUAUCCUUGCAGCCUGGGAAAGAAAAUAAAAACAAUUUUAAAAGGCAGCAAGCUGUUGUAGUGGUGUUAAAAUAGCAAACCCACAAUUAUGUUAGGCAGAUUAGACAGCAGCUAUUUCUUUUCCCAAGCUAGUAUGCUCUGCCUACUGGUUCAGUAGUCCAGAGUUGUGGAUGGGCUGGAGCUAAGGGCUGCAAGGGGAAAGCAGAGACAAAUACUUGCUUUUGGGAGUUUACCAGUUCACAUAUAUUUCUUUUUCUUUUUUCCCAAAAAAAAGGGUUUUGAUAAUUUCAAUUACAUUAAGUAAAUUAAUAUAUAAGUAUAUUAAUAUAUUAGAAGAAAUUCUUUUUUUCAGUUCAGAUCCUCUCAGAAGCCGCAACAGAACAUAACUAUUACUCCAACUCCAAAAGUUCAUUCUAGUUUUAUUAUAAGAAAUCUCCUAACAUUUAUGAAUUUGCUGUUUCCUUUAAAUACAUUUAUGAGUUUAUUACUGUAACUUAAGCUUGUAAGACAUGGACUCCUUUUAAUCAAUCUGGUAGCUUUCCUGCAGGGAAAAUGGAUUUGCCUCAAAGUUUUUAUCAGGAGGAAGGGCGGAAAAAACUAACAGUGGUUCAGCAAGCCUAGAAAGAGUUUCUGGAAGAGGAGACUAAUAGGAUUUAGCCUAUACUGAACAUCCUGUAGAGACCUAUGGCAUGUAAGAGAGACAUUAUCACAAGCAUAUUUGGCAUUUCUAGGAAAGAGAAAUUUCUGCUAAACUGGAAAUAAAAAAUGUUGCAACACCUUUUUCUAGUUGGUCUUGAGAUUAAAGAUUUUGAUAUUUCCAGUUCCAUUAACUGUUCAUUCCUGGGCAAUUCUAUUACAAUAUCAUGAUACCGUAGAGACACAAGUCUUUCAUGGACAAUGCCCACAGACAUGCCUUUGACUUUGAAUAAGUCGACAAUAGUCUUAGGUCAUAGAGAUUGUGGUUGACAUCUUUCCUGCAUAGCUUCAAGAUUAAACUUAGAGAUCUAAAUGAAUGAAAAUCAGAAAUCUUGCAAGAAAGUGAAAAAUUAUAUCUGUGUAAUACUAAUGUCUCCCAUCUCUGCUAUAUGCAAAUUUUCCAGCCCAGACUUGCUUCUUCUAUGAGACUGGAUAAGACCACAGACCACCGUGGUUUGGUUACAGGCUGAGACAUUGCAUCCAGAUAUACACAAAGAAAUGUGAUAAGUAGCAAAAACUUCAAGUAGCACUGACAUAUAUAACCACUGUUUCAGUGGCAAAGAAAUACCAUAGACACAGCAUUCCCCACUACAGCUUUAUAAAACACAAACGGUAAGAGCAACUGCUGUGGGAUAUAAAUUAGGAAAGCCUCAGGGGCAAAAAAAAUUGCCUUCACAAUGUCUGAGGGUGUUGAUACUCUGUAGCAGACCAGCCAAAUAAUAGUCUUAUAAGCUACUUGAUUAGAAAGAGUUUUGGUUUAAAUGCUCUCUCAUUUACAAUUAGAGGUGUUAAUUCAAUGGCUAAAGGUCAGGAAUUACUCACUGCUAGCACUGUGUCUCAGAAGCAUAUCUGGGAAAUGGUCAUCAGCUCAAAUCAGAGGUGUUAAUAUGCAAGUAAAGGUCACAGUGCCUUUUGCUGAAUGAAAUUAGCAGUUCUCUAGAUUAACUUUUUCUGAAGGGAUGGCUGUUAGUUGAGGCAAGUAUGCCUUCGCAGGGGCAUUGCAGUUAAGCAUCUGCUUUUCACAAGAGCCAAGGCUUUGCUGAGACAAUUUUUAUACUGCUAGGGAUAGUUUCAACAUUUCUUCCAUUGUCUGGAUAGAGAUGAAUUCAAAAAAGUAAAAGUGAGUAAAUUCAUUGUAGUGAAUGUUUCUGAGUGUGAUUGAAAGAAGAUAAACUUUAUAUAAACCAAAAUUAAGUGCAAACAAAGGUAAGCAUACUCACCUGAAGCUGUAGCUAGUAGGUCUAGUGCCUAGAGUAUUUCACAUGGAUGCUCUGUCAAUUACUUUCUGGUAGCUCAAUGACCCUGUUUACCUUGUCAGUACCACAGACGUUGAAAAUGUACAGAAUUACCUUAUCAGUUAUUUCUUCUGCCUGGGCAGAAAUAUAUGCAUGUGGAGUCUUAAGCUGAUUAUGUCCUUUUAGACAGCUUGUUCAGGUUUCUUUGUGACUCUUUUUCUGUCUUGAAAUCAUUAUAGAGCAAGUCUUAGGCUUCUCCUAGUACGGUGCUGUCUGCAGAGAAAAUGAACUUUUCUACUCUGUUGACCAAAACAUUGUGAUGCCAAAAUUCUUGUCAAUAUUGAAUAUUGUCUGUAAAAAUAUGGAGCAGAAUGAGAACAUAUCUGUAUCAGGACAUAUCUAUAAGAAAUUUGAUUCAACAAAGCUUUUCAGAUUAAAAAUGAA